rnacentral:tRNA from 1 species
GCAGGAAGUAGUUUAAUAAGAAUA